rnacentral:rRNA from 1 species
CCUACGGGUGGCAGCAGUGGGGAAUAUUGGACAAUGGGCGAAAGCCUGAUCCAGCCAUGCCGCGUGUGUGAAGAAGGCCUUCGGGUUGUAAAGCACUUUCAGUGGGGAAGAAAGCCUUGGGGCUAAUACCCUCGAGGAAGGACAUCACCCACAGAAGAAGCACCGGCUAACUCCGUGCCAGCAGCCGCGGUAAUACGGAGGGUGCGAGCGUUAAUCGGAAUUACUGGGCGUAAAGCGCGCGUAGGCGGUCUGAUAAGCCGGUUGUGAAAGCCCCGGGCUCAACCUGGGAACGGCAUCCGGAACUGUCAGGCUAGAGUGCAGGAGAGGAAGGUAGAAUUCCCGGUGUAGCGGUGAAACGCGUAGAGAUCGGGAGGAAUACCAGUGGCGAAGGCGGCCUUCUGGACUGACACUGACGCUGAGGUGCGAAAGCGUGGGUAGCAAACAGGAUUAGAUACCCUUGUAGUC